UCGACGAAUCUCCUGUAACACUGUGCAGCGAUCUGGCAGCUAUUCGUACAAACGAAUGGAUCAUGUGUGCAUAAAAUGUAUUAAAGAAAAAAUGUAGGACUGAAGACUACCUCAAGAGCUCUUCAAGAGUAUGUUAAUUCUAGUAUGGAGGAUGAACUAGCAAACAUUGGUCUUUGAUUAAAUUUUCAUUAUAUUCAGCGUCAGAGGCGUAUAACACAAGAUACACAACCAAACACAAUUUACAUUUCGACAAUCAUUAUGUAUAAGAUUUCACUUGGAUUUUCUCUCUAUCAAUACUUAAUAGUAAUGCUCGUCGAUAGCUUCCCGUUACCUCAAAGAGCGUCGCGUUAACACGCGACAGCUUCCUGGUUAUCAAUGCAUCCUCUUUUCUCUUUCUCUCAUCGUUCAUUCACACGUUUUCACUUUCGUGCAUUCGUAUGUAUAUUCGCGUAGCGUCGUCGAUCGGAAAGUCAAGUAAAAAUCCGCGAAGAAUUCCAUUAGUUGCGUACAAUUCGCGUAAUUAUUCGCGACAAUUCACUUUCAAUGUAGAUGCGAGUCCUUGGCGAAAUGUCGCUCGGUACUCCUCGAGACUCCUUUCUUCUUGAUUGAAGUUGCCUUCCGAAGAAAAGCUUCAUUGAUUCUCGACGAUGAAGAAGUUCACCGCUUUAAACACCGGCGACUUAGAAUUACAGAGCAUUUACUUCGCCCGGUAAUUAAACUUCUUCCCCUCAAGAAAUGAUCGCUUCACUUUUCUCUUGUCUACAAAAUUAAGUUCUGUCCGGCAUCAACCAAUCUGAGUCGAAUCUCAGGCGCUACAUGAAAAACGUCUCUGUAUGGAUGCGACAAAAUGUGCAAACUAAUUAACACCAUCAUCUAUCGCACAAGUAUCUUGCAACUAUGUAGAACGUCUGAUUGCAACAAUCUUCUUUUGCGCUCUGUAUAUAUUGGAGAAAACUUUUUGAAGUGAGGGAUUCGGGAUUCUUCUUUUUUUUUGCAUAUUCUUGUGCAUUUUAUCGCACCCCGUUUCUUCAGAAGAGCAGCGCAAUGGCAAACUUGUAUCUAAAAUUUUCUUGGAGAAUCAGCAACUAUCGUCAGCGUGUGUCUCUUCUUUCUACCAUUUAUACAUCUAUUACAUAUGGUUUCGCUAGCUUCUAAAAUUCUUCCUUCAUCAGUUUUUAUCAUCAUGCAUAUUUAUCUUUCUCUUUUUCUUUGCAUUUUGACUACGGCUCAUGAGGAGAAACACAUUAUCAAAAUUAAUCAGAAAUCAAAACUGUGUUUUUAUCAUCAGGAUUGGAAUCGGUAUAAUUUCUUGAGCUCAGAUUUUCAGAAAUUUUUUCUUAUAUUUUUCAAGACAAGAAUUCUGCUGAAAACUCUCUAUACAAUCAAACAUUGAACUCGCCGAAAUUACAUCACAUUCCGCACUUAAUUUUAAUCAAUCAACAGCGGGACCAAAUCGUGAACGAGAGUUGUGAAUUGUUAAAAAAGUGACGCUUUCAUUGUCAGAUAUUUUAUUGUACUUAUAUUGAAAUUUUCCGAUUUAUAUAUAUGACACGAAUUACAGCGAAAUAGAUGAUAGAAUAUCUUCUUCAAUAUGAAGAUUAAGGAAAAUCUACGAGAAACUUCGACAAACAUUUUGAGAACUUCGGAAUUCCGUACAUGUAGUUCAUGUCCAAGUAUUUCACUCUUGAUCACGAGCCUGUCCGGCUGAAAAUGGAUAAAUUUGUCUUCUACAAUUACGCCUUGUCUUGCACAUCUCCGAACGCUUGAAGCCGAACGGGACCACUUUAAAAGCGGGAUAAAAUGUACAGCUAAAACGAAAAGACUUGAUAUUCUUUCCGCGAAAUCGUUUCCCUGUUCUUCCGUUAUAAAAGAGCGAUGCCAGUUAUCGCAUUGCAACGAAUUCGAUUAACACAUCGCGAUCCAUAAUGCUGGACCUACGAUCCUCUAACUCUAAGAGGAUCGCAUUGCCAUCAUUUUUUUUACGUACGAUUAUUCACGCGAAAAACUUGUUUACAUAUUCUAUAUGUACACUAUUCCUACUUUCGACACUUCAUACAGGCAUGCUGUAAUAUUCGCCAAACGAACAAGGUAUCCGUGAAAUCAUUUCAACUUAAAAAAGAUCAAAGAAAUAAUAAGGAAGAUAACUGUCUUCUCGCAUUCAAUGCUAACAGAACGCGUGCAAUAGCUAUGUCAAAUCAUUUUAAUGAAGAGGACGCGUGUACGCACAUAAAAAGAAAUGUUCUUACGUCCUUACAGUACAUAGAUUGUUACGAGCGGUUUCACUUGAUCUCCACUCCACAUGCACAAUGACAACAUUCCCUCCGUUUUAAAAUUAUUAAUAAUUGUCUAAUAUGUUACAAACGGUCCGUGAACCUAUACAAGCCUUAAGAUUAUUGGAUUAACAAUUAAGAAACGGUACGGUAAUAAGAGCACAAUACAAUCAGAAUUAAAUUUUCGAUUUAACAGACUCCACUUUUUUUCCGAAUAUGUAAUUCGCUGUUUAAGCUCUUUCUCAUUUCUUUUUUUCCCCGUCACAUAUUUUUUAUUAUCUAUGACUACAUUGUUAUUUUAGAUUUGCUUCAGCGUGUACAAACAUAAUUAAUUAUGUGACCGUAUUCAGGAAACGAUAUACUAGCACGUGUAUGUGAACACGUGCCUGCUCUGUGCAUCUAUCUACACACACACACACACACACGCGCGCGCGCGCGCGCACACGCACGCACGCACACGCAUACAUAUAUGUAUAUGUAUAUAAUUCUCUUACAUGAUAGACAACAGUACGUAAAAUGUAGUAAAUACAAAUCGAAACAUUGUUGGUAAGGAAAAGGAGACAAUUUUCCAAUGUGGAAUAUGAAACGAGGAAGGGAAAUGUCGUACGCUCUCUUCUGUCGGGGAACUGCAAUGACGUUAUUGUGCUCGAUUCCGUUCUGCUCGAGACGUAUUUUUUACAAUCGUGAAAUAUUUACUUGCAUACACAUCAAAUCCUAAAAUUUUUUCUUAAAGUCCGUUCCACACAAUCUACGAAUUAAAUUUUAAACUCAAUUUACAGUCUCUCGACAAUAAUUGCAGAGGGCUAGUUGAUAAUUUUUAAUUCGAAAAAACUGACUACUUUAUAGAAUCUUUUAAAAAUGAUUUCGCAAUGAUAAUAAUAUUGCGCCGCGAAUAACGAGUAUCUAGAUUCAAGAAAAAAAGGGGGAAAUUUUAUAUCCGACAGUGACGUGGAAACAAGGGAAACGUGUAAUGUCUCAUGUAUGAAUAAAGAUGUAGUGUAUCUUGCAACUUAAAGAAAAAUAUAGCUUCUGUGAUUAAUUACAGAAAAAAACUGAUAAAAAUUAAGAAACUGAACUUCUAUUAGAGUCUUGCUUCGUUCCUGAACACAAACACUCUCCAGAUUAGGCGUGAAUCGUCGUGUAAAUUGUUUCAUGAUUUGAACAGUUGGUAACGUAUGGUGCAAUAAAUUCGCUCAAAUAUCCGCAAUUUGAUAAUUUUACAUACGCAUUAUGUUUAUUAAUAUUAGCUCAGUACAGUAUUAACUUCAUCACGGAACAUCAUGCGCAAAACUUUCGCAAUGCAGGCACAUCCGCUUCUAAAAGAGGUUGUCGAUUCCUUCCACGUAAAUUUUUUCAGGCAUCCUGCAUUAAGGCAAUUAAGUGCAUCGCGUUUUAUUUUCGGACCUAUUUCUUCACAAAAAUUGCAACUAAUUAUAUAAUAUAAAGUACAAGAUCGUAAAUAACUAUUUAAGGAAACUCGUUCGAAAAAGUAUACAUAUGUCGAGUACGGAUAGAGAGGCAAAACAUUCAAAAAGAUUAGACAAACAUCAGAAAAAUGACAAUUAAAAAUUAAAUAAGUUUUGUUUUCUAGUUUUUUAAAUUUAGUUUUGAAGUUUCUCGAUCUUGCGCACAGAAAAUGAGAUGAUCAAGCUCUGAAGUUUAUACUCUAUCAUAGUAGAUUUGCACACUAAAUAUUUCAACUCUUCUUUUUUUUUCCUCAUAGAUCUACACGGCGUGUAUAUAUCAUUUUUAUGCACUUUGUAAAACAUUGCAUAAUUUGUAGUCAUCACAUCUUGCAGAUACACGCUCACCUUGGAUCUUAAGUGAAAGAUAAUUUGGAUUAAGAACAUCGAUGACAGGACAAGAGAGAUGUAUAUGAUAAUGUACAUGCAAAAAAAAAUAGGGAAGAAAAUAUAUAAGUACUCAAAGAAGAGAAACAAGAAAAGCAAAUAACGCUAACGUAUGAUGGAGCAUCUUCUCGUUUCUACUCUUAAUAGAAUCUCACAGAUGCAUUCGUAUACAUUGCACGCACUCAUACAAUGUUACCGAGGUUAUCUUUGUAUGUAUGUUUUAGAGAAGAAAUAAAUAAAUUUCUAUUAAAAAAUA
rnacentral:lncRNA from 1 species